rnacentral:rRNA from 1 species
UACGGAGGAUGCGAGCGUUAUCCGGAUUUAUUGGGUUUAAAGGGUGCGUAGGCGGAUUUUUAAGUCGGCGGUAAAAUGUCCGGGCUCAACCCGGGCCGGCCGUUGAAACUGGGGAUCUUGAGUGGGCGAGAAGUAUGCGGAAUGCGUGGUGUAGCGGUGAAAUGCAUAGAUAUCACGCAGAACUCCGAUUGCGAAGGCAGCAUACCGGCGCCCGACUGACGCUGAGGCACGAAAGCGUGGGGAUCGAACAGG